GUCGGUCGCCGUUCGGUUCCGGUUCUGGCCCCGCCCUCACGCGGAAACCCUCCAGAAGUCUUAAUAUCCGGGACCAGAGGCUGGUUGCGGUGCGCAUUUCCGGCAACGAGCGCAAAGGAAGGGAUCCGGUUACGCCUCUUCCCGUCUUCCCAGCGGCCCAGGCUCUGGCUCUCGGUGCGGCAGCGCCAUCUGGUGCCGAGUCUCCCGCCACCCGCGGAGGUGGCACGCGCCCUUCUCACGGAACCUUCCAGAGAAACCGCGGCCCCUGCUUUCCUUUCUCCCGCCCUGGAGGGGGAGGGACCCGAGUCUCCGCUCCGCCGAGUUCCCGCGCGGGAGGGACUUUGUGGCGACUCUGAAGCGGAAGCUGCUUGUAGGAGGAGGUUUACGAACCCAAAAUGGAGCGGAAACUGGGUUGUUUCUCUAGUUUUAAGUCCAGAAGAAACGGUGUCCUUUUAUUUUUUGCUUCUUUAUGCCUUGUUGCUGGGUCAUUCUCAGUCUUCCCUGUGUCAGUUCUUUAAUCUUUGAGUACUGGGACCCUGUAUUAAUUGCCCGGUAGGAAGAUGACACGAGCUUUGUGGCUUACAUUGGCCUCUGCUGUAAAAGCUUUUGUUUCCUUUCGCCUAUUAAAGCGCUGUUGUAAAAGCCUGCUGUGUAUGUGUUAGGAACCCAUCGAGAAGCAGAAUGUAAUAAUUUGCUUUAAAAUAGGCCAUGGAAGUUUCAGAAAGGUAGCCUCAGAAAUGCUCAAUGUAGAUUCGUUUGCAUGUCAUGUUUCUUUUAGAUAAUCAGAGAAAGGAAAAAUAAUUCCCCCAAAGUUAGUAAAAUCAACACAUUUUCCUUUAAUAAUGAGUUGUUUUUUUCCUGUAAUCUUGGAGUACUAACAGUGUUGUUUUAAGUGUUUUAUUGGAAUGGUGCUGUGGAUAUCAAAAUAUAUAAUGAAACAAAUUUCCUUUAGAAUUUAGAUGGUACAUGUUAACUUGGCUCUUUGAUUGUAUUUCUCCAAUAGUAGUGGUUCUCAAACUGGAGCAUGCAUCCAGAUUCUCUAGAAGACUUGUUAAAACAGAUUGCUGGGCCUCAACCCCAGAGUUUAUAACUGGGAGGGAAGGUCUGGCGAUACAGCUGGAUUAGUGUAGCUCUAAUAAAAUCUCAGGUGAUUCUGAUGCUGUUAGUACUAGGACCACACCUGGAAUAAUUUAGAGUUCAGGAUUGCUUUGUCAAUAAUGCUUUUUGCUAUUUCAGGAGAGACGGCACUAAAUUAUACUGAUGAUACUAAGCCUGCACAAGUUAGUAGUCCUUUUGACUCCGUGGAUGGGAAGUAGGAAACUAAACCCUAGAACCAGUAGAGAGCUACAUAAAUAUCUGCAUAUGAUCAUGUGAUAGAGGGUGCUGUAAUACCAAGUAUACUAAAUAUUUCAGUUGUUAUGAAGUAAUUGUUCUUUAGCUGUUAAAUUAGAAAUGACUAAAAUUAAGGACAAAAUAGUUUAAACAAACAUACUAAUUUUACCCUUUGGAAGACGCCAGGUUUUUUCAGUCUUUUGCAUUUCCUCAAGUUCCCUUGUUUUACGGAAUUCUCUACCCCCAGCCCACUCUCAUCCCUACCAUGCCAUUUAUAAAUGUACACAGUGCUUACAUUAUAAAAAAUGAUCAUCUCAGAACUUGUCUCAUCUUUUCAGCAGGACUUUUCUCAAUUCUGUCAAAUUCUGACUGUGCCACUGCCUUUAUUGACACUAAUUAAAUCACACAGUGAUUAAAGUGUGCUGCAUACUGUAACUUUUGUGAUUGCUACAAAUAGAAAUACAGAUAUUGUUAGAUAAAUUUAUGUUUAUGAUAAUCAGUUCCUAAAAUGUAGAAGGCAGUCGGUUUUCUGGUCUCAAUUUUAUUUAAAUCACUGCUAUUUUGUUUACUGGAUGUAAGUUUCCCCCCCUCUGCUCCUCUAGCCUGAAUGGGCCUUCAUGAAAGAAGAAAAAAAAGGUUGAGAACAACUGUCUUAAAACCAUGGUAUUUCCCUAAUAGGCUAGUACCAUGUAUUUGGAUAAUUACUGAUGAAUCAUUUAAAUCAGGGAAAGAUGCAUGGUUUUGUUUUUUUUGUUGUUUUUUCUCUUUUUUUUUGUUUUGAGAUGGAGUCUUGCUCUGUCUUCCAGUCUGGAAGUACAGUGGCCCGAUUUCGGCUCACUGCAACCUCUGCCUCCCGGGUUCAAGCGAUUCUCCUGCCUCAACCUCCUGAGUAGCUGGGACUACAGGCGUGUGCCACCACACUGGCCACAGGUGGAAACAGCCUGAGGCCCUCACCAGAAACAGCUGCUGGUACCAUGCUUCUUGUACAGCCUGCAGAACUGUGAGCCAAGUAAACCUCUUUUCUUCAUAAAUUACCCAGCCUCAGGAACUACUGCUAUCUUGCUUUGGUAGUUACAGUAAAUCAAGAUAAAGACACCAGUCUGCUUGGACUCGUGGAGAGGUAGCAAACAGUCCACAGACAGUUUGCUCAUUUCGGAAGAAAGCUCCUGACUGAGGUUCUUUAGAUGCGUUUAACGGAGGGGCAGCUGUGCAAAAGCAUCACUGUUUCACUCUUUUCCAGACUGAUAUGAAGCGUCUGUCAUGUCACACAUAUGGAGUUCUCUACCAACAGCAAAGGCUAUUUAGUCAAGAACCUCGCUCUAUCACCCAGGCUGGAGUUCAGUGGCACA